rnacentral:rRNA from 1 species
UACGGAGGGUGCAAGCGUUGUCCGGAUUUAUUGGGUUUAAAGGGUGCGUAGGCGGUCUUUUAAGUCAGUGGUGAAAUCCUCCAGCUCAACUGGAGAACUGCCAUUGAUACUGGAAGACUUGAGUAUAGUUGAGGUAGGCGGAAUUGACGGUGUAGCGGUAAAAUGCAUAGAUAUCGUCAAGAACCCCGAUUGCGAAGGCAGCUUACUAAACUAUAACUGACGCUGAGGCACGAAAGUGCGGGGAUCAAACAGG